ACAUUAUUGCUGUUAACAGUUUAUCUCUAUCUAUAAUAAUAUUCAAGAUAAUAACCAAAAACAGCAAAAUUUCCUUAAAAUUAUCAAUUCAGGGGCAGCAACCCAACAACGGGUUGUUCGAUUCAUCUGAAAAUUUCAGGGCAGAUAGAUCUUGACCUGAUGAACAAUUUUACCCCAUGUCAGAUUUGCUCUAAAUGCUUUGGUUUUUGAGUUAUAAGCCAAAAACUGCAUUUUACCCCUAUGUUCUAUUUUUAGCCAUGGCAGCCAUCUUGGUUGGUUGGCCGGGUCACGCCACACAUUUUUUAAACUAGAUACCCCAAUGAUGAUUGUGGCCAAGUUUGGAUUAAUUUGUCCCAGUAGUUUCAGAGGAGAACAUUUUUGUAAAAGAUUACUAAGAUUUACGAAAAAUGGUUAAAAAUGGACUAAAAAGGGCAAUAACUCCUAAAGGGGUCAACUGACCAUUUCGGUCACGUUGACUUAUUUGUAAAUCUUACUUUGCUGAAC
rnacentral:lncRNA from 1 species